rnacentral:rRNA from 1 species
UACGUAGGUGACAAGCGUUGUCCGGAUUUACUGGGCGUAAAGAGCGCGCAGGCGGUCGUUCAAGUCGAGUGUGAAAGCCCCCGGCUCAACUGGGGAGGGUCACUCGAUACUGAUCGACUCGAAGGCAGGAGAGGGUAGUGGAAUUCCCGGUGUAGUGGUGAAAUGCGUAGAUAUCGGGAGGAACACCAGUGGCGAAGGCGACUACCUGGCCCGUUCUUGACGCUGAGGCGCGAAAGCUAGGGGAGCAAACGGG